GUGAUUUCUUUAAGUUUCUUAGAUGCUCAGAUAUGUUACGUUAUGUGCGCAUGCGCAGCUUCACUAGAGACUUAAAUUAUGGUAGCUGGUAAUCAUUUCACCGCAGACAAUCAUCAGGAGCACACAGCCCGUUGGCAAUCACAUGUACCUACGGGGGAAGGAUGGCCAGCCACACAGGAGGGUGAUUUUCACUAAGGAGAAGGAGGCCAUGCUGACCGAAAUGCAUGCUAGCCAUUUCGGAGUGAAGCGCAUGAUUGCCAAAAUCAACCUACGCUUCUUCUGCCGUGGGAUUGUCAAUGAUAUGGACAGCUGGGCAAGUGAAAAAAACUUUUAUUUAUCAAUCACAUUCUAUUAUAUCUGAAAUGAUUAUGAUUUCAAUGAAUGUCACAUCAGAGCACACAAUGUUUCAAUUAGUCACUUUGUGCUUAAAGGUCAGUAACUGUCUAGCCUGUCAGAAGUUUGAGAGGGUGAAGACUGGUGCCGGAGUUGAAGCCCAUGAAAGUUGUUUCCCCAUGGCACAUGAUCGAUAAGUGUCACAAUUCAAAUGUUGCCCUGAUAAGUUGUUUUGUAAUGGUUGCUUUAUUUGACCACAGCAGAGUUCAAUAUUAUAGAAUCUGGCUGUGUGUGUCAGUAUUCUUACAAAUAUGAAAAUCUGCAUACCGUAUGACACAGAUACAGGUAAGAAUAAAGUAAUCUUCUCUCUAACACUUUAAAUGUUAGGGGUGGACCUCAUCUGACCCUUCACGAAAUACAUGAAUGGCAAGAGCUGGUGUCUGACGGCAACCGAUCACUUUACCAAGUGGGUGGAGGCAAUACCCAUUAAGGUCAGUAAAGGAAGAGAACGUGCUUAACUCUAAAUUCCCUUCUCGAGGCCACCUCCAAGGUGAUGAUGGACAUCUUCAACACCCACGGUUCUCCUGAGGUCAUCUUGAGUGAUCGAGGUCGUGAACUCUGGAACAAGGUUUGGAUGAACAGACCAACCAGAACCACAAGACCGCCAUGGGAAAGUCCCUUGACGGGUAACCGGAACGGUGGGAGUACAACCUGAAGGUCAUUCUCUUUGCACACAACAGCUUCCAGUUCUCCACCGAGUACUCGCCCUAUCGCCUGCUGUACGGACGGGAGCUGCAGCUGUUGACUGAGAUCACUGAAAUUGUCGAAUCAGAUCAAAAUGCCUUUGAGGACCACCUUCAGGCACGGGCUGAGAAGGAUGUGGAGGUUUUUUAUCAGGUGAGACUGAACAUCGACAAGGUGCAGGAGAAACAGAAGGAGAGCUACUGAAGGAGAAUACAAAAGGGUUAGGGGCUUCGACAUCCGGGCAAAUUACUUGGUUUGGAAGAAGGGCGAAAGGAAGGCGAGACCUGGAAAACUUCGCUGCUCUUUCACUCCUAGCUGGGGUCACCAUCCAUUAAGGGUUACAUCGGUGGAAGCCAACAAUCUUCUCCAGUUGGACGGUCGACCACUGAAAGCCCCGACUCCCUACACAUUCGUGAAACCCAUGAGACAAAGUACAGUGAGGGGGAAAAAGUAUUUGAUCCCAUGCUGAUUUUGUACGU